AGUGAACGCUGGCGGUAGGCCUAACACAUGCAAGUCGAACGGCAGCACAGUAAGAGCUUGCUCUUACGGGUGGCGAGUGGCGGACGGGUGAGGAAUACAUCGGAAUCUACUUUUUCGUGGGGGAUAAUGUAGGGAAACUUACGCUAAUACCGCAUACGACCUACGGGUGAAAGCAGGGGAUCUUCGGACCUUGCGCGAUUGAAUGAGCCGAUGUCGGAUUAGCUAGUUGGCGGGGUAAAGGCCCACCAAGGCGACGAUCCGUAGCUGGUCUGAGAGGAUGAUCAGCCACACUGGAACUGAGACACGGUCCAGACUCCUACGGGAGGCGGCAGUGGGGAAUAUUGGACAAUGGGCGCAAGCCUGAUCCAGCCAUACCGGGUGGGUGAAGAAGGCCUUCGGGUUGUAAAGCCCUUUUGUUGGGAAAGAAAAGCAGCAGGUUAAUACCCCGCUGUUCUGACGGUACCCAAAGAAUAAGCACCGGCUAACUUCGUG
rnacentral:rRNA from 1 species